rnacentral:rRNA from 1 species
GACGAAGGGGGCUAGCGUUGUUCGGAAUUACUGGGCGUAAAGCGCGCGUAGGCGGUUGUUCAAGUCAGGUGUGAAAGCCUUGAGCUCAACUCAAGAAAUGCACUUGAUACUGGAUGACUAGAGGACCGGAGAGGAUAGUGGAAUUCCCAGUGUAGUGGUGAAAUACGUAGAGAUUGGGAAGAACACCAGUGGCGAAGGCGGCUAUCUGGACGGUUUCUGACGCUAAGACGCGAAAGCGUGGGGAGCAAACAGG